UGGAGAUGUUGGUAUCUUAGUGGCGGACGGGUGAGUAACGCGUGGGUAACCUGCCUUACACUGGGGGAUAACACUUAGAAAUAGGUGCUAAUACCGCAUAACAGGGAAAGAUGCAUGUCUUUUCCUUAAAAACUCCGGUGGUGUAAGAUGGACCCGCGUCUGAUUAGCUUGUUGGCGGGGUAACGGCUCACCAAGACAACGAUACAUAGGGGGACUGAGAGGUUAACCCCCCACAUUGGUACUGAGACACGGACCAAACUCCUACGGAAGGCAGCAG
rnacentral:rRNA from 1 species